rnacentral:lncRNA from 1 species
GUGGGAAGACCCAUGUGACAAGGAGCUGAGGCCUCCAGCAAACAGCCAGGUGAAGACCAUGAGGCACAGAGAGGUUUGUUAACUUGCCCAAGGCCAAACAGCUGGGAUGAGCUCACAAUAAAGCUUAGAAACCACCAGAAAAAUCCACCACACGGGAGAAUCCACAGACAGAGCAUCAGGCACAGCAGGGCACUGAGAGGACUGAAUGAGAAAACCCACUUGACAAGGCAGCUGGCCCAGAGGACAGGCUGGGCGAAUGGUCAUGGAGUUUAUUACUAAUGAAUGAAGGGCCGGACCCACAGAUGAGUCACACAAGUGAGCCACUGAUCGAUCUGAUAACAAUGAAUGGACAAAUGAAAGAAAUGAAUCAAUGAAUGAAAUGCUCAGGGCCUGCCUCCCAGCACCACAGAGAGGGGACCU